CUUUUUAUUCACAGUCAAUAAACCUAAUUUAAGUAACAUUAUACCUAAUUUUGAGUUUGAAAAAAAGCGGAAAUUAUGAAUUCUUUUGAAUAAUAGUUGAAUCUGA